rnacentral:rRNA from 1 species
GAUGAACGCUAGCGGCAGGCCUAAUACAUGCAAGUCGAACGGUGUCUUCGGACAUAGUGGCGCACGGGUGCGUCACACGUAUGCAACCUACCUUACAUUGGGGGAUAGCCUUUCGAAAGGGAGAUUAAUACCGCAUAAGACAGUAGCUGGGCAUCCAGCAGCUGUUAAAGAUUUAUCGAUGUAAGCUGGGCAUGCGUCCAAUUAGCUGGUUGGUGAGGUAACGGCUCACCAAGGCAAUGAUUGGUAGGGGAACUGAGAGGUCAAUCCCCCACACUGGCACUGGGAAACGGGCCAGACUCCUACGGGAGGCAGCAGUAGGGAGUAUUGGGCAAUGGACGCAAGUCUGACCCAGCCAUGCCGCGUGCAGGAUGAAGGCGUUAUGCGUUGUAAACUGCUUUUAUACAGGAAGAAACGACUCUUGCGAGAGGCAUUGACGGUACUGUAUGAAUAAGCACCGGCUAACUCCGUGCCAGCCGCCGCAGUAAGAC